rnacentral:rRNA from 1 species
AACGAACGCUGGCAGCAUGCCUAACACAUGCAAGUCGAACGAGACCUUCGGGUCUAGUGGCGCACGGGUGCGUAACGCGUGGGAACCUGCCCUUAGGUUCGGAAUAACUCCCCGAAAGGGGUGCUAAUACCGGAUAAUGUCUUCGGACCAAAGAUUUAUCGCCUUUGGAUGGGCCCGCGUUGGAUUAGCUAGUUGGUAGGGUAAAAGCCUACCAAGGCGACGAUCCAUAGCUGGUCUGAGAGGAUGAUCAGCCACACUGGGACUGAGACACGGCCCAGACUCCUACGGGAGGCAGCAGUGGGGAAUAUUGGACAAUGGGCGAAAGCCUGAUCCAGCAAUGCCGCGUGAGUGAUGAAGGCCUUAGGGUUGUAAAGCUCUUUUACCCGGGAUGAUAAUGACAGUACCGGGAGAAUAAGCUCCGACUAACUCCGUG